rnacentral:rRNA from 1 species
CCUACGGGAGGCAGCAGUGAGGAAUAUUGGUCAAUGGACGAGAGUCUGAACCAGCCAAGUAGCGUGAAGGAUGACUGCCCUAUGGGUUGUAAACUUCUUUUAUAUGGGAAUAAAAUGUUCCACGUGUGGGAUUUUGUAUGUACCAUAUGAAUAAGGAUCGGCUAACUCCGUGCCAGCAGCCGCGGUAAUACGGAGGCACCGAGCGUUAUCCGGAUUUAUUGGGUUUAAAGGGAGCGUAGGUGGAUUGUUAAGUCAGUUGUGAAAGUUUGCGGCUCAACCGUAAAAUUGCAGUUGAAACUGGCAGUCUUGAGUACAGUAGAGGUGGGCGGAAUUCGUGGUGUAGCGGUGAAAUGCUUAGAUAUCACGAAGAACUCCGAUUGCGAAGGCAGUUCACUGGACUGCAACUGACACUGAGGCUCGAAAGUGUGGGUAUCAAACAGGAUUAGAUACCCGAGUAGUC